CUCGUGUUUAAUGAAAUAUAGUCUAAAACUUUACUUAUAAGUUAUAAUCAGUUCCCACUUUACAAUUCAAUUUUUUAAGGUUUUUUCUAGAUUACCUUUGAAGAAUGGUGGGUAAUUUACCCAUCAACCAAUGAAAAUGAGCAAUUUGUUGGUGGGUCAAGAUAGUUCAUGGAUAUCGCUUAAAAAUGUACUUAUAUGGCUAAUAUGUAUUGGUUGGGGUAAAUUACCCAUCAUUCUUUCAUGGGUAUCCUAGUUGUCACCAUUUUUUAAUGAUUGAGUUACGCAUAACCAAAAUUCUAAGAAGAACAUCAUAUCCUAUUAAUAAUUUGUUUGACCACCCGCUUCAAAUGUGGAUGGUUCUCACCUUACAAAGCGUUUGGUAAAUUUAAUUAUAUUUUUUGUUAAAAAAGUAAAAUAGAGUUCUUAAAUUAAU
rnacentral:lncRNA from 1 species